ensembl:rRNA 5S_rRNA 5S ribosomal RNA
GUCUAUGGCCAUACUACCCUGAGCACACCUAAUUUCAUGUGAUCUUGAAAGCCAAGCAUGGUCAGGCCUGGUUAGUACUUGGAUGGGAGAAACACUUCUUCCACAGCCAAAGACUGCAGCCUUGGUCC